rnacentral:rRNA from 1 species
AGUGAACGCUGGCGGUAGGCCUAACACAUGCAAGUCGAACGGCAGCACAGUAAGAGCUUGCUCCUACGGGUGGCGAGUGGCGGACGGGUGAGGAAUACAUCGGAAUCUACUUUUUCGUGGGGGAUAACGUUGGGAAACUUACGCUAAUACCGCAUACGACCUACGGGUGAAAGCAGGGGAUCUUCGGACCUUGCGCGAUUGAAUGAGCCGAUGUCGGAUUAGCUAGUUGGCGGGGUAAAGGCCCACCAAGGCGACGAUCCGUAGCUGGUCUGAGAGGAUGAUCAGCCACACUGGAACUGAGACACGGUCCAGACUCCUACGGGAGGCAGCAGUGGGGAAUAUUGGACAAUGGGCGCAAGCCUGAUCCAGCCAUACCGCGUGGGUGAAGAAGGCCUUCGGGUUGUAAAGCCCUUUUGUUGGGAAAGAAAAGCAGCAGGUUAAUACCCCGCUGUUCUGACGGUACCCAAAGAAUAAGCACCGGCUAACUUCGUG